rnacentral:rRNA from 1 species
AUUGAACGCUGGCGGCAUGCUUUACACAUGCAAGUCGAACGGCAGCGCGGGCUUCGGCCUGGCGGCGAGUGGCGAACGGGUGAGUAAUACAUCGGAACGUGCCCAGUAGUGGGGGAUAGCUCGGCGAAAGCCGGAUUAAUACCGCAUACGACCUGAGGGUGAAAGCGGGGGAUCUUCGGACCUCGCGCUAUUGGAGCGGCCGAUGGCAGAUUAGCUAGUUGGUGGGGUAAAGGCCUACCAAGGCGACGAUCUGUAGCUGGUCUGAGAGGACGACCAGCCACACUGGAACUGAGACACGGCCCAGACUCCUACGGGAGGCAGCAGUGGGGAAUUUUGGACAAUGGGCGAAAGCCUGAUCCAGCAAUGCCGCGUGUGUGAUGAAGGCCUUCGGGUUGUAAAGCACUUUUGGCGGGAACGAAAAGGACUGUGCCAAUACCACGGUUCGAUGACGGUACCCGCAGAAUAAGCACCGGCUAACUACGU